rnacentral:rRNA from 1 species
CUUGCUUCUCUUGAGAGCGGCGGACGGGUGAGUAAUGCCUAGGAAUCUGCCUGGUAGUGGGGGAUAACGUUCGGAAACGGACGCUAAUACCGCAUACGUCCUACGGGAGAAAGCAGGGGACCUUCGGGCCUUGCGCUAUCAGAUGAACCUAGGUCGGAUUAGCUAGUUGGUGGGGUAAUGGCUCACCAAGGCGACGAUCCGUAAUUGGUCUGAGAGGAUGAUCAGUCACACUGGAACUGAGACACGGUCCAGACUCCUACGGGAGGCAGCAGUGGGGAAUAUUGGACAAUGGGCGAAAGCCUGAUCCAGCCAUGCCGCGUGUGUGAAGAAGGUCUUCGGAUUGUAAAGCACUUUAAGUUGGGAGGAAGGGUUGUAGAUUAAUACUCUGCAAUUUUGACGUUACCGACAGAAUAAGCACCGGCUAACUCUGUGCCAGCAGCCGCGGUAAUACAGAGGGUGCAAGCGUUAAUCGGAAUUACUGGGCGUAAAGCGCGCGUAGGUGGUUUGUUAAGUUGGAUGUGAAAUCCCCGGGCUCAACCUGGGAACUGCAUUCAAAACUGACUGACUAGAGUAUGGUAGAGGGUGGUGGAAUUUCCUGUGUAGCGGUGAAAUGCGUAGAUAUAGGAAGGAACACCAGUGGCGAAAGCGACCACCUGGACUAAUACUGACACUGAGUGCGAAAGCGUGGGGAGCAAACAG